CAGGAAAAUAAAGGUCAUGGCCUUUAUCGUCAGACCAUCUUGGAGAAGAGUGAGAUGUAUGAGUUAUUUAUACACCAGGAUAAGGAACAACUGAAUCUGGUCUCUAACAGGUGCCAUCUAACUACUCAAAGUAUCUAUGUAUGAUAACAUCUCAAGAUUUUCUCAAAAAAGGAACUAAAAUUUGAUGAUGACUCUCCUCCAUCCAUGUGAAUGGAAACAAUGCCUGGGAAUAGCAGAGGAACAAGGGAAAACUCUGCAUUACUAAUCCAUGGAGCAGCCAUAACAGCUCUGAUAUGCUUCUCAUGCAACCUAGCUUUGCCAUCCCGAAUUUGCAAAUUCUAGCCCUGACAUGUCUCCAGAGCUUCAGACUGGCUUAUCUAGUUGCUUAAUCAACAGUUCCAUUCAGAUAUCUGAAAGGGAUCUCAGACUUAAAUCUCUAAAAUAGAACCCUUGUUUUUCUCCCCUAAAUCAUGUCUCCCCUGGUCUUCCUGAUGUCAGUAAAUGGCAC
ensembl:lincRNA